rnacentral:rRNA from 1 species
GGCCAGACUCCUACGGGAGGCAGCAGUGGGGAAUAUUGCACAAUGGGGGAAACCCUGAUGCAGCGACGCCGCGUGAGUGAAGAAGUAUCUCGGUACGUAAAGCUCUAUCAGCAGGGAAGAAGAAGGACGGUACCUGAGUAAGAAGCCCCGGCUAACUACGGGCCAGCAGCCGCGGUAAUACGUAGGGGGCAAGCGUUAUCCGGAUUUACUGGGUGUAAAGGGAGCGUAGACGGCGAAGAAAGUCUGAAGUGAAAGCCCGCGGCUCAACCGCGGAAUGGCUUUGGAAACUUUUUUGCUGGAGUACCGGAGAGGUAAGCGGAAUUCCUAGUGUAGCGGUGAAAUGCGUAGAUAUUAGGAGGAACACCAGUGGCGAAGGCGGCCUGCUGGACUGCAACUGACGUUGAGGCCCGAAAGCGUGGGGAGCAAACAGGAUUAGAUACCCUGGUA